rnacentral:rRNA from 1 species
CGUAGUUGAAUUUCUGGUCGUGGCGAUCGGUCCGCCCCUCACGGGGUGUGCACCUGGUCUCUACGUCCAUCCUCGGGGAGGGCACGCCUGGCAUUCAGUUGUCGGGUGUGGGAUCCUCGUCAUUUACUGUGAGCAAAAUAGAGUGUUCAAAGCAGGCUUAGGCCGUUGAAUACAUUAGCAUGGAAUAAUAAGAUAGGACCUUGGUCUAUUUUGUUGGUUUGCAUUCCAAGGUAAUGA